GACGAACGCUGGCGGCGUGCCUAAUACAUGCAAGUAGAACGCACAGUUUAUACCGUAGCUUGCUACACCAUAAACUGUGAGUUGCGAACGGGUGAGUAACGCGUAGGUAACCUGCCUGGUAGCGGGGGAUAACUAUUGGAAACGAUAGCUAAUACCGCAUAAUAUUGAUUAUUGCAUGAUAAUUGAUUGAAAGAUGCUAUUGCAUCACUACCAGAUGGACCUGCGUUUUAUUAGCUAGUAGGUGAGGUAACGGCCCACCUAGGCGACGAUACAUAGCCGACCUGAGAGGGUGCUCGGCCACCCUGGGACUGAGACACGGCCCAGACUCCUACGGGAGGCAGCAGUAGGGAAUCUUCGGCAAUGGACGAAAGUCUGACCGAGCAACGCCGCGUGAGUGAAGAAGGUUUUCGGAUCGUAAAGCUCUGUUGUGAGGGAAGAACGGGUGUGAGAGUGGAAAGUUCACACUGUGACGGUAUCUUACCAGAAAGGGACGGCUAACUACGUG
rnacentral:rRNA from 1 species